rnacentral:rRNA from 1 species
GACGAGGGGUCCAAGCGUUGUUCGGAAUUAUUGGGCGUAAAGCGGGUGUGGGCGGCUCUAUAGGUCGGAGGUGAAAGCCCCGGGCUCAACCCGGGAAGUGCUUUUGAUACUGCAGAGCUUGAAUGUGGGAGAGGGUAGUGGAAUUCCAGGUGUAGUGGUGAAAUACGUAGAUAUCUGGAGGAACACCGGUGGCGAAGGCGGCUACCUGGCCCAACAUUGACGCUGAGACCCGAAAGCGUGGGGAUCAAACAGG